GACUUCUGGUCUAAUGCGCCUGGCCCGCGGUCGUAAGACAUGUGAGUGCCAGAAAACGAGUCUUCCCUUUACUGGGCCGGACUCGGGAUCUAGAUCAUUUACUUUGAAAAAAUUAGAGUGUUUAAAGCAGGCUAUUGCUAUGAAUACAUUAGCAUGGAAUAAUAAUCUAGGACUUCGGUUCUAUUUUGUUGGUUUCUAUAGCUGAAGUAAUGAUUGAUAGGGAUAGUUGGGGGUGCUAGUAUUGGCCGGUCAGAGGUGAAAUUCUUGGAUUCGGUCAAGACUAACUUAUGCGAAAGCAUU
rnacentral:rRNA from 1 species